ensembl:lncRNA
UUAAGGAAAGGUUUGUCAGCAGGAGGUUGGGAUGGCUUCAGCAUGCACCAUCUACAGCAAAACCACCAAAUGCUGACGUUUUUGCUGACUCAUAUUCAGGAAAACAUGAUGCGCAGACACAAUGCACUGUAACUCUUUUUCUUUCCCCCACUAACCUCGAAAGUUUCUGUAUUUCGUGCAAUAAAUGGCUGAGGAAACAUGUGCAGUAAUAAGAGAUGAAGAGGAGACCCAGAAAAACUCUGAUGAAGACCCAUUUCAUGAUGCUGAAACAGCAUUGCCUGAUUGCUAUGCUGGCCUUAGUGAAGGCAACAGAAGCUCAGAGGUGCCAGAAAGACUGUCUGUCCUCUCUAGCAAGGCUGUGGCCCAAGCAAAAGCACUUGCUGGACCAUCAGCGGUCAUCAGUGGCAGCCAGGCACAGAGCAAGGCAUCUGCCUUGGCCAAGCACCACCUGAUGGCUGUCAGUGCAUCAGCAGGAGACUUGUCCUGCUCUACAACAAUCUGUAAACCCAAGCCCAGGGGCCUUGCCUCACCGUGCUCUGAAAGUGUCUACUGUAGCUGUGACCAGGAUUCAGAAGCAUCAUGUGUCCCUGGGAUGCCUGACGGGGCUGGUAAGCCCCCCAGGGCAGUCGUGGCCCUGUUGGUGAACAACCUCAGGUGCUGCCAUGUGCCAGCUGAUAGCGCACGGCCUGUGGAGAGCUGCACUGAGGGCAACCCUUGCAGUCUGGGCUCAGCCAUCUGGAUGAAGACCACAACAGUAAUGGAGACCCUAGAAAAUAAGAAAAAGGAGGAAAAGGAGAAGUAUCGGCUCCAGCUAGCAAUGUACCGAAGACUCCUGCUGUUGCGUUCGAUCAGGAGCUUGCACAAGCAGCUGGAGCAGCAGCAGGCCAGGUUACAGGAAUGCUAUGGCAUAGUCAUAAAUACCAAGAAAGAAGUGUUAAAGCACAUUCGUUCAACCUUGCCCUCUCCUUCUCCAUAAUCAUGUUGCUGCAUGCAGAAAUGAGCUUUGUAAUGCCACUGGAGCCGUCAGCAAGCUUGCAUGCCAUGAGAUGGUUUCUUCCAAGCCAAGAGAAUGUGCCCACGUGUGCCGAGAGCAAAGAGGAAAUGGAAACAGCAGAGCGAGAAGAAAGAGGAAGGCAAAGCGUUGGCCCCUGAAUUUGUCUGCAGGGAGCUGGAAUAAGAUUAUAUCUGUGCAAUACCGUAAUGCUUGAUGUGCACUCAAGGCUUCAAGCUUGUGUAUGACAUGAAAUUGAAAAAAAAAAAAAAAAAAAAGAUGGAAAAAACCUGAGAACAUAGUCUGAUGUGAUCAUCAUGUGACUUAGUGCUAAUAGAAUGAACAGAAUUAGGGUUCAGUUCUCUUCAAGAACCUAGCAAGUCAGGAUAUUAGGAGCACUUAAACUCAGGCUUGAUGAUGUCCACCCAGCUGCCUGCUUUUCAGAAAACCGCUUAGGCUAUUGCCUGUUUGUGACCUCUACCCUCCCACAAAAAAUUGUAUUCAUAUUGACCAGAAGUCUUUCUGGAAGGUCAAACAGUCAAACACACGUACAGAGGAACCUUGCAAUUGCCUGAGCCCUAUUAGGAAGGCAAGCUAAAAGCAAAGGCCUCAUAAUCUGGCAUUGUGUUGGAAGCCCAGACUGUCAGUGCCAGGGGAAUGUUCGAGGUCUGCACAAUUAUUAAUCUGCUGCUAACUCCCAGUGGCACUAGCGUCUGCAAAUCAAGCACAUUUUGUGCCUUACUGCUGUCAUUUAAUGGAAGUUGGUGACAAUUAGCACUUUUUAUCCAGGUGUAUUAUAUGCCUGGAAAACCCUAGAGCAAUUUCUUCAAUUGCUAGGUUAGGAUGCCUGCAGGAAAUCUGAUGUCAGUAAGCAACAAACAAACAUACAGAAAAAUAAAGAAAAAAGAUGCAACUUCUUUUUAUGCAUUAAAAAGCCAGUCUAGGUCCCUAUUAUCGAACAGCAAAUUGAAUUGUUGAAUGUGCUGUCUUAGAGUCUGAAGCAAAAAUUAUUUGAGAAGAUAUUGAAAGGCUCCCCUUUCUGGGACUUAGAGUGGCAUAGAAAAAUCUUUUUUUUUUUUUUUUUUCUUCAGGUACCCAUUUCUGAUGAUGCCACUUUUUCUUUUGCCCUGUUGUUCUUUGUUACAAAUGUGUAAGUAGAUGAGCAAUCAGACAAGUUUUUGGCAUGGAUUUAUUUGGUUUUGGGUUUUUUUUCUUUUUCUUUUUUUUUUUGCAUGAAAAUGCACAUCUGUUACUAGAAGUCCUAUCUUUCUCAGAGUAGUGUUCUGUAUGUGGGAAUUUUUUUGCCUUGGCUUUUUUGUGUGCUCAUAGAGGGAAGAUGUCUGUGUUUGUGUGCACACACAUGCACUUAUGUACAAAUGAUCCUAAAAGGCUGGCACUUCUUUUUCUGUAGUAAAAACAGGAAUAAUCUCUCAAAAUAAUCUUUGCUGUCUUAGAGGAGUUGCUUGAUUAGAUUCACAUGCGCACAUCUGUGAGCAAGGUAUUGAAGUAAUUUAACAAUUGAAGUGCAGCACAACAUUGUUAUUAUUCCAUCUUUGUAUUUCCUUGCACCCAAAAUAAUGGAAGCCCCCUGGGUAUGCACAACCUUAGAUAGGCUUAUUCAUCUCCUUGGGCCCUUGCACAGCCUCUUACACAGCACGAGCCUGUAAUUUUGUAUGCAGAAUUACCAUAGAAACAUUCUUGGCAUCAAGGAGAUAUUUGAAGGAGCAUCCUGUACUGUCUCAUAUGGGGGAUUUGGGUUGCCGGCAGCUGUCAGUGGGCUGCCGAAGAUAGAGUUGGGGAUCUAUGUGACUGGAGGACACUACUCCUAUGCCCGGAUCUCACCCAGCUUUGUUCAGCCUUGGGAAAGCUGUUCAUAGCCAGUAAUGCGCAUUUACCAAAGAACACUAAACUCACCUCAAAAGUAAUCUGUUCUAUCUUAAUAUGCCUCCUAGAAAGGAAGAACAAUCAUGGCUAAGAGGACUAUGCAAAGAUUUGAUUUUUUUUAAUUACUAUAUAUAUAUAUAUUAUAUAUAAUUAUAUUGUUAUUAACAAAACCUAAAAAAAAAACCCACAUUUUUUUUUUCUCCUAUUCAUUAAGAGUUAAAGUUCUGUUAACACAGACACAAGCAGACCAUUAUUAGAUUGUCUCUUUGGGAAGGAAAUAUUGGAAAAGGGGUGCAUCUCUCAAAAAUAAAUAAAUGCAAAAUUACUCAAUUCUGAAAUUAAAUGUCAAACUGUUUCCAUUAAGAUGAAAAUUAAAAAAAAAAAAAAAAUUGUUAAUUCUUCUUUGUACAUCAUUUUAGCCUAAUUUUAUUUUUUGUCUUCUGAAUAAGAUUCAGCUUUGUGAAUACUAUCAUGUUGAAUUUUCUGCUGACAUAAAAUACAUGUGCACAAAGGUAAGGUGGUGUAACUAUUUUGCCUCAGUAACUGCUGAAGUAAUGUCCUAUGCAUUACUAUAUAGAGCUACCUAUAGUGUCAAUUCUUUUUAAAGGUGACUAGAAAAUCACUGAAAAAUAUUUCUUACACUGUACACAGUGUGGCAAUAGUUGAUUUGUCAACCUGUAUAACUGAAAGUACUUUGUGGCAGAACUGUGACUUUUUUUUGUAUGACAUCUCUCGCAACGUUUCUUGUUUCUUAUUGGAAUCAGUAGAUGCUUCUGCACUAUGAAUAUUAAAUGUCAAGAGGUCUGUGCUUGAGCAAUGCUGCCUGGCAAGAAAAUAAAGCCAAUACUUGUUCUGUGUAUGCACAGUCUUUCCAUGUAGUGAUUUUAUGGAUACAUGCAAAAUAAAUGUUAACUGAAGAAAUAACAAGAACACUUGUCUUUAGAAGAGUUUGCUGGUUACCUGGUUGUUCUAGUGUGGCUUCUAAUAAUUGUGGUUGGCCGAACCAAUUAAAAGCUACAAGAUUUUUAAAAUAAGGAUAUUUUACAAGCUUGGAAAAUGUGGUUUAACAGCAAUGCUUUUCUCCUGUGUAUGUCAGCAGCUGAGGACAAGCAGGAAAAUGCUGAGUAACCCAUGGAGGUAUUUUGUUGUGCACCAGACAAAGCAACAAUCUCAGUUUUAAUAAAAAUGCAUCUUCUCAACUAUUUUCAUCUCUUUGUAUGGUUAAGAGUCUUGGUGGUUUGGAUGAGGUUAAACAAAAUUUCUUAAACUUUGUAUUUCUUUCUGAACCCAAACUACAUGAGUUUAGUUCUAAUCAGAGAAAUAAGCUGGAACCACUGACACUUCAUAUAUGUAUGAAAAAACUGUCAGGUCUUGGGUAAUGGUGACAAAUUAAUCAAUUCCAGUAGGGUCUUUCUCCCCAUUAUAUUACUGCCUGCCUGAUCAUGUCAAGCUAACAAUCUAGGAAAAUCUCUUUGAGCCAAUAUCUUGUUAACUACUUCCACAGCGAAGGCUGAAGUGAAAUUGCACUGUCCGAGCCUUGAGGUCCCACUGCUCACCUAAUUGCCUAGCUAGCCUGAUAUGGCAGGAAAUAAGUGGAUUUACCAUGGAAGAAAAAGAUGUUCAAAAGAUACUGGCACCCUCAGAGUCAUUACUAUUCCUGAGGAAGUUGUAGCAUAUGCCUACCGAAAAACAGAUAUUUUUAAGAACUUUAUCUUUUAUAAGCAAUUAAUGACAAAAUGCGUUACUGAGUUGGUUUUCAAUGCAAGGUCUUUUCUUCCAUGCCUCUGGCAUUUUAGGUGCUGCCCUGGAGACUUGUCAGAGCUGUGCUUUUUGCUACUUCUGUUGUUGAUUACCAUGAGCCAGCCAAGAUAAGAAGACCAAUUUUGUUUAUUCAUUAUUUGUUGUGAUGGAACAUCAUACUAUGUGAGGGGUUAGCUCAUUUCUUUUCUGAGAUUUUAUGUCUUUCACAUUGCUUAAUUAGAACAAUGCUGGCUUUACCCACUUAUAGUAAAUUUUGAGGGCAGGCUUGUGAGCUAUGCAAUACUAAAUCCAGAUCAUCCUAUGUUGUUCUUAGCUAUAUGAAAUGAUGGAUUCUGGUCAUGACAUAAAUAUAUGAAAGAUUUAAAGAUGAGGAUGUUUACUCCUGACAGAUGAGUAGACUUAGAGAAAUUCUAGAGAGUACUUGCUACAGUUUAUCUCUGAAUUCUGUGAAACUAGAAUAUAAAUGCUGUGAAGCACACAUUCUGCUCAUGACUCUUGAAAGCAAUGCAGUAAUGCAAGAGUGAAUGUCAAAUAUGCUUGAAUGGAACUCUACUCUGAAUGUGCUGGGCAAGGAGUAAAUUUUUUUCAACCCUAAAACUCAGAUGAGUAUGAUAGCCAAAAGUUCAGAUAUUGGAUGGAUAAUGAGAGUGAAUGGAAAUUAAAAAUAAAUAAAUAAAAUUCAGGGUUUGAUACUUAGUGUUGCUGAGAUUCACACGUAUGCCAUUUGUCCCAGUUGGUCUGGCAUUUACCUAAUCAGAAACAUGUUGAAGUCAAGCUUUCAGUCAUGUUAGAAUGCAGCCCAGUACUUUGAUGUAGUGCAGCUUGUUGAAUGCUCCUUUGGAGAUUGAUAUGUCUCACUCCCAAUAUCUCAAAACAACCAUAAUUUUUUUGAAUGGUACUCAUCUUUAUUUUUCUGGCAAAAGAUCUGGAAGCAGGUAAGGAUCAUACCGUAUGUUCCUUGCCCUGUUGAAGAAAGGGACAGGUAGUUGUUGCUUGUUCUUAGUGAAAACAUAUCACAGGAAAAAUGGCCCUAUGAAAGCAUUUCUAAGAGUUUACUGAAAUAACAGUAGCUCUUACAGAAAUAAAAAUCUAUCUGAAAACAAGUUUUUCAAGUUGUACUGAUCAUCUUCUCAGAAAAUUGUAGUCAAGUUUCUGAAGCCAUAAGUGUUGCCUUCAUCUCUGACAAAUGAAGUAUCUAAGUCAGCAGCCCAAAGUGAAUUCUGUGUGCAAAGAGGCAAGGAAUUCUUGAGAAUCUCAAUAAAAGUUACAGUCUCCCUUUGAUUAGUGGAGGUUGGAGAGGAAAGGGAAUGUGUGACCAUUCAUCACAGCUCCAGGCUCAUUAGUACCCAGGAACUUUCUACUCUAAAUGACAAAGAGUUUCACUGUCGCCAAAGAGAAAUUGCUGCUGACCUUAGACCUCUUUUUGGAAAGUAAAAUAAUGGAGCACAGGAGCAGAGUUUGAUAUUUGACUGAAUUCUACACAAUUAUCAUGCAUGUGUAUAUAAUAAAAUUAAUUCUGUGUCUCUGCAUUGUAGCCUCCGGCAAGCAGCGUACAAUCAGUUUUGUAUGUAUAAUAGAUCACAGAGUUGUUCAUGAAUAAUACAAAUGCAUUGAGCAGAUACUAGUGAGUGAGGAUGUUUGUCUUUGCAUGGAAUCGAAGUGAACAUGUAAUAUUGUGAUAAUAUAUAUUUGAUGAAUUCAGGUCUGACUUGCCUUUGCCAUAGCCUGCUAAUUCCUUGACAAGGGUUGCCACAAUAAUUGAGUUUCCAAUAACAUUAUGAUUAUUUCCACAUGAUAAUUUAAUUGUAGGUAUUUUUUAAUAUUGUAAUAAUGUAGAUUUGUGAUUAUUAUGCAUUUGCAUGCAGAUUUUCAUGGUGACUUGGAGCACAUCCCUACAUUUAUAACUUAAUUUCCUAUAUUAUUGCAAAUAUAUUUUGGGAUGAACUCAUUAAUGCAAACUAAGGAAAAAAAAGGUCUUUUUACUUGUUUUGCCUUUAUUAUAAAUGGCUGAAAGCUUUGCUCAUUUUUUUUUUAGACCAGUCUAAACAAGUGAAUAAACAAAAGACAACUGUAAUUCACGGAUGGAUUAAUUUAAAAUAAUAAUAUAAUUACAAAUCGUGGCAGAUUUGUCUGAGGUAAUCAGGCUGCAGACUGGUACAAAUUUUUCAUUUGUGAAACAAAACUUGUUUAGAUGAAUCACCAAGUUUCAUAUGGGCUAUUUUCCAUUCUUCCAGUUCCCCUAUUUAAGGCACUGGCAAAGUAACUUCGGCUAAAAAUUAAUGGAUUCCUAUAUGAGUGGAGGUAGCAACAGCAAUGCCUGGGCAUCUGGAUCUAACUAGGUAUUAUUUUGUCACAUGGUAUGCCCCACAAGAACCGAAUUAGGUAUAGAGAGUCAUGAUGCUAGCAGAGCUUUUAACUGUUUCUUUUGGUCUUCUGUGAAAAGAGGCUGGUUACCUUGCUGCUAUCAGCCUUUAAAAGUACCUUAGAGAAUCUUUCUGGAGACACAGAGAGGGGCAAAGGGACAUAGCCAUUUCCCUAGAAAUAAACUCCAUUCUUAUUAACUGGUGCAGAUAUUCAUAUCAUCCUAUUAGCAUCCUGCUUCAGAUAAGAGAGCUCUCUUCCAGUCAUAUCUAAAAUUUGUUUUUAGCACAGUAUUCUUCUAUUUUGAAGAGAAACUUUCCAGAAGUGGUUACAUGGAGCUUAUAUGUUGGUCCUUCUACAACAUGUACUUGAGAAAAAUGAAAAUCUUUGCCAUGUUUUAUCUGUAAAACCUCAGGUCUUCAAACGGAACCCCAGAGUCACAAUGGUGGAAGAGUUCCUGGCCUCCUCCAGGUUAUCAGUACCUGGCAGGAUGCAUUUUCAUUGCCUGCACAGCAGGCACGUGCAAUAGGAGCUCAGAAAAUACCCCCAUUUUUUGACGUGGAUGUCUGUAAGUAAGGACUGAAAAAUAUAAUUUACAGCUAUCCUUUUGCAUUGCUCUUCAAUAUGGGCAAAAUCUGUUGGUUUCAUUGUAUUUGCGCAUGCUUCUACUUUGGGUGUAUUCUCUAAAUUAACUAUGCAGAUCACACGGUGAGACCUGUACAAGUCCCUUCUCUUCCAUCUUUUCUUGCUAUGUGGUCUUAAGGCUUGUACAGAAAAAUAAAAGCUUGUCCUAGACAGCAAAAAGAUCAGCUACACAAAGGUUAGGAAUUGCAAGAGUUCAGGUUUUGGCCCGGAAACUGAAACUUGCAAUUUCUUGACAUCUGGGAUCCUUUCUUGGGGAGGAUAGAGGGCAUUCAGUUCAACUCCAUUCAGCAGAAGUGGAUUUGCAUCCAGGCAACAGUCAGUAGUGUGAGGGGUAAGAUGGCCUCUCUCUGCUCCUAUGCUGUGACUUGAGGGCAAUUGUAUUUGCUGCUUUGCUUUCAGUACUUAAGAAGGAAGUGUUUAGUAUCAGGUCACUUGGAAGGCUUCUUCUGAUGUAAAAUAAUUUGUUGUUUCUGUUGUGUCACUUCAGUCAAGGAGAACAAAAAAAUGUAUAUACAUAAUGUUUAGUUUUCUCGCAACUGUUUUUUUUCUGUUUGUGAACUAGUGGGAACAUACAGCUUCUGUGAGGUAGAGGUGUGGCCUCCUGUGCAUAGACUGACAUUUCCCAGCAUGUUUUGAAGGAAAGCAUUCUUCAAAAAUCAUUUGAGUAAGGAGCUAUUUAUACAUUGCUCAUUGUCCCUUGUGCUUGAAAAUAUGUGGUUCAUACCUACUAGCUGUUCUUCUCGUAAUGGUGAAGGUUUAUUGGUCAUAAUCCUGAAGGUCCCCUGUGUAUCAAGUGAUCGCUGAUUGUAUUGAAAAGGAAUGCUUCUGUGGCAGCAGGCAGCCCUUGGGUUGAAAGAGGUGUCCCUUGUCCCUAAGCAAUAACCUGUACAGAUGAUCGAGACUUGUUGAUAGACCUCCACGGAAGUCUUGCCUGGUAGCUGGGGCUUGGCAGUGUCUGACUCAGUGAGGGAUCCUUCUGUGCAGGAUGACUAAACUUGAUUUGUUGCCCUCAUCAAGGAGGGCAUAAAAGUAGGCAAAAACAGAACAUGCCUUGAGGACCAGGCAGAUGCAGAUUUACUGCAACCUCUGUCUUAUGAGUGGGAGGAGGUAGGUAGAAUUUACAAAGUACAAUUAUUGACUAAUUGCUUCAUCACUGAGUCUGGUAAGGAAUCAGUGAUAUGUCUCCUGAGAGAUCAGUGGUGUCACCUCACAUGUCCUCAGGGUGCCAAGUGGUAUAAAGCGCUCACUUUGAAAGCACUGCACCGUGAUAAGCUCCAACUCCCAAGGGAUGUAUUGUGUGUACAUUUUGUUAUCUAUAAUGACACGCUGAAAAGGUAAUGAAACUGUUAAGGGAACGCUGCGUGCCUAAAAAGAACAUAUUUUUCUUUGAACCAAUAAGAGAGAGAAAGUCUUUCAGAAAAGCAGUUAAAAUAAUAUCAUUUAAAUGUAACAAGUGAUAAAAUACUAGAGAGAAUUCACCUGUCAAAUGAAAAAGUUUAAGACAUGUAGUCUUCUGUGUAACAUACACAUUUCAGAUUGGACUGUUUUCCUGGUAAGGCAACAGACCUCUUCAAAGAAGUUGAUAUAUAUAUACAAAAUUUUGAAUCUGACACAACUGGCAUAAUGGAAACAAUUAUUUUAGAGAGUGGAUAUGAAGAAUAAAUCAUAAAAUAUAGUCAUUUCAUGUAGUCAUUCUUUACAUUAUAUGAGACGCUAUGAGAUUUAACAAGACCAGAGUUGUGAGACUCUGGGAGGUUUUCAGCAAAGGUGAUUUUGUAAUAAAAUAGCUCAGUGCAUAUAAAAAAGAAUACCCUUAGAGAUGUCUAACAACAAUAUUUUGAAAUUAGACUAAAAAAGGCUCAUGUUCUCUUCAACAAAAUUCCGUGUGGACAUAUUCAAAAUUUUUGUAUGGCCUCAGUGUGCUUGGGACCAUUUUCCAGUAGAAAUGUUUUUUACUUACAAUAUGUAUGGAAAUGUACGUGAGUGUUUUCUUUUGUUUCUAAUGCGAAAGCAGAUGCCUUCCCUAAACUUGACACAGAAUGAAAUCUGAGGAUAUGAAAUCCCAGUCAGCAAAGUGACAGAGCAGUUGGGCAAAUGUGUUUUAGAUGAACUUUAAAUGCAAAAUUCAAAUUGUACAAAUAAUCUAUUUGUUGUUAUUCAGAAAGAAACAAAAACUCAUAAGAAAAGUGAAUUGGAUAGAAUAGUAUGAUCGUAUCUUCUAUUACCUCAGUACUGGCCAUCAAUCACUGUCAGUUAAUUAUCAUUAAGAUUGCAUAAAAAAGGCUCCUGUGGGAGCUGGAUGGUCUGUGAGGUUCGUUCUUUCAUUAAAACAAGGCAAACAACAUAAGCUUUCUUUUUUUCUUCCUUUUUUCUUUUUUAUCCCUCCAUCUGAGCCUUUUGUAUAUAAAGAGAUGAUGUGGGGAAGGUGAAUUUUGAAGUGAGUAAUUGUGCUGAGUUACCAUAUAGAUGGCAGGGGCAAGGUAUUAGAACAAAGGAUUCAAAAUUGAAGUAGUCAUUUGUUGGGAAAUUUAAAGAAUUUAAAGUUGGUGUGUUUUUUUUUUUUUUUUUUUUUUUUCCUGAAAAAACACCCACAAAUAGAGCCAGACAGUAGCAUGGCACUUUCUAAAGUCAAAGCUUAUGAGUUCUUUUCUUAGUUUUCACUUCAUAAUUAACUGGGCUGCUUUUAAGCCUCCAGGGUUUAUACUUUUCAAUGAAACAUACAGUUUGGAAACUUCAGUUUUAGAAAAGAGAUAAAAGUUACCCAACUCCAAAGCGUGAUUCUUUGACAGUGCGCUAGACAUCCUGAAAAUUAGUGUGAGUCGCAAAUACAGAAACUUUCAGAGUUUAUCAGCUAAUCUAGGGGACUCGUGCACUUAGCUGCUUGACGGUGGCAGGAACAGGAAUGCACUAUAGGACAUAAGCAGCUACUGUUAUUUCCAUGGUAUUUCCCUGCACUGCUAAGCAGCAGUUCACACUUUUUGAAGUGUCAAGGUUCAUUGAUGGUGCUCUUCAGCAUCACAGACUGAGGCUAGUACUUGAGUUCUGCACAACUUCUGCCUUUAACAUGAAGUUGGCAUUGAAUCAGCUCAUGCUUGCUCAUCGUAAGGACCAUGAAGUUAUUGUGGCAAAGCUCUCUGUUAUGCACAAGAACAAGUUAAAGACUGAAACCUUCAGGACCAAAGACCUCUUCUCCUCAGUAGGAUAAUAAAUUCAAAAUACACGUACUUUUCAUUAGCCAUGUUUAGGCCAACUGCCCAAACAAACUUAAAGUCGGAGUAAAUGCAAACAAAACUAAUAAAUCUCAAAACAGAAUGAAGUCUUCAGCAAUGGUGACCAAUGAGAAGUAGCGAGUGACUUAAACAAGAGUGGAACUGCCCCAGUUAGGGCUGUUCAGGCUGAAUAUAGCCCUUCAGUUCAAUCUAUCUGCCCCUUGUCAACCUCUUUCUCCUGGGGAGGCCUUUUUGUCUGCAUCUAUCCAGUUUGCAGGCAGCACUUAGUGUAUGAUGGGCAGCUAGAUGGUUGCAAGGUGGAGAUAUGUGUUAAGAUUGGAUCAGGUAACUCACUGUGUGUGCAUCCCAGUUUUCUUUAUUGGCCAUUUGCUGACAUGAUGGAAAAGACUGUACUUUGGUUAUGAUCUCAUCAAGGAAACUGGUUUAUACUCUUAUAUGUUUGGUCUCUGUCAUGUGUUGAGUUUUUCAUUCUUAGUUGGCUAUGCUAAUAGAGAAGGAAGGUCUUCCAGUGUCUGUUUUGUUUUGCAAGAGGUGGGACAAUGUUAGCAAGUCUGGAAAGUACAGAGGGAAGAGUUAGGCCACAGCAAGAAGGGACAGUGCAUCUUGAAAGAAAACUGAGAUGGAAACCCUAACCUCUUCUAAUUUACAUAUGGUGACAUUUUGCAGAAAUAUUGUAACAUUAGCAGUGGCAUAAUGAAAUUCUGCCUAUCAGCCGUGGAAGAAAUAAUGUUACUAUAGAGGUAACCUGUUCACAGUUUGUUAUCAAGAAAAUAUUCAUGCCAAGAAACAUACAUUUACCAAUGAGUGUUAAGAACAGUGGUUUUUUUCCUUAUAUUUUUUUCUUCGUGGGCUAUCCAUCUUCCCCUCCAGAUUUACUGCAUGAUCACUCCCUUUACAUGCUAAUUAUGUGCAGCUCUGGUGAAUUUGUUAGUAGUGACACUUCGGGCACCCAGUGGGACUGCAACUCAUUAUGUGGCAAUGUCCAGAUAUAUCAGAUAUUAUUAGCUGUCAUUAAUCUGCUGUGGAAACAUUGAGUGCACAGCCAGGAGAGAGACCAGGAAAUAGAGUAAAAAUGAAGUCUGCAACUGCCCUGGCCCCCAAAAGGUCAGAGAGCAAAUCAGCAGGAGAGAAGAAUACACCUUAAAAUGGCCAGUGCUUAGUAGCAGAUUUUUAACCCAUUGUAAACCAAUAUUUCUCAGCAUAGGAAAGACAAAAAGAAAUGAUGCUGUUUGUAAUGACUGUAUGACUGUGCUUUACUGCUGGAGGAAGGAAGACAUUCUCUCAAACUACUGCUUUCUGAAGGGAUAUUGUAGAAUCACAUCUCAGAAAGAACAAAAGUGUGUGAAGAGAAGGAAGAGUAAGCAAAUAGCAGUAUUUAUCUCAAUGUGGAUAGCACCAAAGCUCAAAUCUUUGAAAUUACACACAUGUAAUUCAGCAUAUGGCUUGGCCUUCUCUACGUUUGAAGGUAAUGUUUUAUAGAACCAGACUUGGCAGCAGCAAAAAUCCUGUGGGAAUCAAGAGCUUGCUCUUGCUGUUCAUAUAGUUCUGGAAUUACAUGCCUGUGCUCACUAGUGCUCACUAGCAUUUGUUAUGCAGCUUAAAAACAAAAAUCAGGAUACAUUUUUGGCAUCAAUUCUGAGAAGCCGUCACUUAUAAUAGUUAUGCUUAUCUGUGAUUAUGUAGCAUUAAUUACAUUGCUUCGGUAGCAGCAGUAAAAAUGAAGGAAAGAUUCUUACCAGAAUGCUCCGGAGUAUUUUCAGUGCGACACGUAGCCCAGGACUGCAUGAAGUCAUGUCUUCUUUCUUUUGAUCUCUAAUAAGGUUUGUAGAGACCAGGCAAGCUUUAAGACAUCUAGAGUUAUCUCUGCUCUGAGAUUAAAAUGGAAAACACUGAAGUACGGGCUAGAAAU